CAGUUGCGAUUUUCCUUUCGCCCGGAUCGCACGAAGACAUCAUGGUUUCAAGACAUUGUUUAUGUGUACUUUGGAUGGUGAUCUUCGUCUUUGGAGGAGCCGUCUCACAAAAAGACAAUCAAACCAACGUGCGACAGAAGAGUAUGAAAAAUGUUUCUGGCUUCUCUUUAAGUUUUUAAAUCAAACGUUUGUCAGAUCCCUCGGUUGGGACCCUUGAUCAGGACUUGACUCCCUCAAUUAGAGAAUUUGCCCCUCCCUUUGAAAAUACUUAGUUGCUAUUUUUUUCUUCUUCUUUUAGAAUUGUUAAGCAUUUUUAAUAUUGUCACCUUUAAGAACGAGGGUUGUACAUCAACGGGAGCUGGCAAUGAUGGUGGAACCUGCCUGACUGCCACCGAGUGCACUUCCAAAGGUGGAUCUGCGUCCGGUAAUUGUGCCGCAGGUUUCGGAGUGUGCUGUGUUUUCAGUUUGACCGGAGCAUGUGCAAGUGGCCAGACCGUUUCUCAGAAUUGCACAUACAUCCGGAACAGUGGAUAUCCCUCGGCCGACACCACCGUAAGCGAAACGUGUACAUACAACUUCGACCGGAUUUGCGACAAUCUUUGCCAAAUCAGGUUAGAUUUUGAUACUUUGAAUUCGUUGAGUUCAGCAACAGGCUUGUGUGGAACCGCCGCAGAUGCCAUAACAGUCACUAGCCCAUUUUCAUCUUCGGCCACCGCGUUUCCGCCGACAGUAUGUGGAACAUUGACGGGACAGCACA